rnacentral:lncRNA from 10 species
AGAUUCUCCCCAGACGCCAAGGUUGCGGGUCAUGGAGUCCCGAACCCUCCUCCUGCUGUUCUCGGGAGCCGUGGCCCUGAUCCAGACCUGGGCAGGACCCUGACUGUCCCACAGAAGAAGUGACAAGAAUUUAUUUAUGACAUGACAAUAACACAUGUAUUCAUGGUGUUAAUUCGAUUUGUUUCAUAGAGACAGGGUCUUGCUAUGUUGCCCAGGCUGGUCUUCCACUCCUGGCCUCAAGCAAUCCCCCUGACUUGGACUUCCAAAGUGCUAGCAUUACAGGUGUGAGCCAUUGUGCCCAGCCCUUAACUUGAAAAUCUGACAGUAUAAUAAAAGAAAAAAAUAGAAGUAUUCUGGAAAUGGAAGAGGAAAGAAGGCUAAGGUGGAAAUCAUCAAUCUGUGUCAUCUGAGAAGCCCCACGUGCAGAGGCUGUCCCGGGACUUUAGGGGAGAACAAAAACAAAGCACCCAGGAUCCUGGUGUCAGGGACAGAGCAUGGCCACGGCGGGAUGGUAGUGGCUCUCCUAUGAAAUAAUGCUCAUAAACAUCCCUUGUGAGAAGGAUCAGAUCAACAUA